UACAGAGGGUGCGAGCGUUAAUCGGAAUUACUGGGCGUAAAGCGUGCGUAGACGGCUAUCUAAGUCGGGUGUGAAAGCCCCGGGCUCAACCUGGGAAUUGCAUUCGAGACUGAAUAGCUAGGGUACGGUAGAGGGAAGUGGAAUUUCCGGUGUAGCGGUGAAAUGCGUAGAUAUCGGAAGGAACGCCGGUGGCGAAAGCGACGUGCUGGACCUCUUCUGACGCUGAGGCGCGAAAGCCAGGGGAGCAAACGGG
rnacentral:rRNA from 1 species